rnacentral:misc_RNA from 1 species
GAUGAAGAACGUAGCGAAAUGCGAUAACUAAUGUGAAUUGCAGAAUUCAGUGAAUCAUCGAGUCUUUGAACGCACAUUGCGCCCCCUGGUAUUCCGGGGGGCAUGCCUGUCCGAGCGUCAUUGCUGCCCUCAAGCACGGCUUGUGUGUUGGGCUCCGUCCCCCCGGGGACGGGUCCGAAAGGCAGCGGCGGCACCGAGUCCGGUCCUCGAGCGUAUGGGGCUUCGUCACCCGCUCCGUAGGCCCGGCCGGCGCCCGCCGGCGACCCCCCUCAAUCUUUUCAGGUUGACCUCGGAUCAGGUAGGGAUACCCGCUGAACUUAAGCAUAUCAAUAAGGGAGGA